rnacentral:rRNA from 1 species
UACGUAGGCAGCAAGCGUUGUUCGGAAUUACUGGGCGUAAAGGGCGUGCAGGCGGUCUGUUAAGUUCAGGGUGAAAGCUCCCGGCUCAACUGGGAGAGGUCCUUGGAUACUGGCAGACUUGAGGAGGGUAGAGGAGACUGGAAUUCCUGGUGUAGCGGUGGAAUGCGCAGAUAUCAGGAGGAACACCGAUGGCGAAGGCAGGUCUCUGGGCCACUACUGACGCUGAGAAGCGAAAGCAUGGGGAGCGAACAGG